CCUACGGGUGGCAGCAGUGGGGAAUAUUGGACAAUGGGCGAAAGCCUGAUCCAGCCAUGCCGCGUGUGUGAAGAAGGCCUUCGGGUUGUAAAGCACUUUCAGUGGGGAAGAAAGCCUUGGGGCUAAUACCCUCGAGGAAGGACAUCACCCACAGAAGAAGCACCGGCUAACUCCGUGCCAGCAGCCGCGGUAAUACGGAGGGUGCGAGCGUUAAUCGGAAUUACUGGGCGUAAAGCGCGCGUAGGCGGUCUGAUAAGCCGGUUGUGAAAGCCCCGGGCUCAACCUGGGAACGGCAUCCGGAACUGUCAGGCUAGAGUGCAGGAGAGGAAGGUAGAAUUCCCGGUGUAGCGGUGAAAUGCGUAGAGAUCGGGAGGAAUAACAGUGGCGAAGGCGGCCUUCUGGACUGACACUGACGCUGAGGUGCGAAAGCGUGGGUAGCAAACAGGAUUAGAUACCCCGGUAGUC
rnacentral:rRNA from 1 species